UUCUUUUACGACGGAGCCUAAGAUAUUCUUUGUCUUGUCGGUGAGUGAGUUACAGUCGGAUGACCAAGUGAAAUAUAGGGGUGCAACGAGGAUUUGGAGGCUUCUGAGACUUGAACUUAGGGUACUGGUGUAAACUUCCUCGGAGAAGUGCGCAGCAGCUAAUGAUAUUUCGGGAUUGGAGUCUGGGCCCCAGUGAGAUUCGUACUAAGCGGCCUGACUGAAGGCCGCAUGCGUUCUAGUUCCUGAGUCCCCGCGUGGGUAGGUUUUUUCAGCAGGGUUUGCAGCCUUUUGUGCUGUUCCGAAGGUACUAGAGUCACUGAAAGAGACAUCCUAUUAUAUGCACGUUCACAAGGACAAUGGCGCCAUUGUUCUUCGCGUCUUCAAAGCAGCUACAAGAAGAAACCAAGAUGGAGGGGAGCCCAAAGCAUCUGAGAGAAUUGAUAAAUGAAAGAAACAUGCUUAAAACAUGACCGUUUUAAAGGUGAAUGCUGACCAGUGAGAAAACUAGAUGUGACCAUCCAGAAAAAGCAUAGACAAAAAAAUGCAGUCUUAGUACUGGGAUGUUUGAGAUGGGGUCUAUCUACAUGUCUCUAGCUGUCCCUAUCAGGACAGCAUCUGGUGUGGCCUGCAGAGUUGAUUCCUGUACUUUUUUUUUUCUGUGGGCUGUAUGUAAAUGGAUUGUUUUGACAAUCCAUUCGACAGUGUUCUCUUCUGUGAAGGUCAUAGGUGAGCUGAUUGACAGACACAGCUGUACAGACUGAAUGCAAUCCUGACUAUAAAGCUGCAGUUCAUCAUUAUGAGCUAUUUCCUUAUUCUGGCAGUGAUUGAAAUAAAAUGGGGAGUAUUGAAAUAAAAAACAUUCAAUUGCAAA
ensembl:processed_transcript Snhg5 small nucleolar RNA host gene 5